rnacentral:rRNA from 1 species
AAGCGGUGGAUGAUGUGGUUUAAGUUCGAUGCAACGCGAAAACUUACCCACUUGACAUGUACGGAAUCCUUUAGAGAUAGAGGAGUGCUCGAAAGAGAGCCGUAACACAGGUGCUGCAUGGCUGUCGUCAGCUCGUGUCGUGAGAUGUUGGGUUAAGUCCCGCAACGAGCGCAACCCUUGUCAUUAGUUGCUACAUUCAGUUGGGCACUCUAAUGAGACUGCCGGUGACAAACCGGAGGAAGGUGGGGAUGACGUCAAGUCCUCAUGGCCCUUAUAGGUGGGGCUACACACGUCAUACAAUGGAUGGUACAAAGGGUCGCCAACCCGCGAGGGGGAGCCAAUCCCAUAAAGCCAUUCGUAGUCCGGAUCGCAGUCUGCAACUCGACUGCGUGAAGUCGGAAUCGCUAGUAAUCGUGGAUCAGCAUGUCACGGUGAAUACGUUCCCGGGUCUU